CAGCAUUUGUUUUAUAUAAUGACAUCAUAACAAUUAAUUCCACGUAAAGCCGUGCAUUAUCUCCGCUGAAUACCAAGACCAAAUGUUUCAGUUAAAUCCUCUUGGUAGAACCCCGCACUGAGACGACGUUAGUCCUAUAAGUUUCGAAGCCAUGAACAAUGCGUAUGCUAAUGAUGGUCCCAUGGAAGACUCACGUGAGUCUGAAGCAAUGAGAAAAUUGUUUGUUGGUGGACUAAAUAGAGAAACCACAGAUGAGACUUUUUUUGAAUACUUUGGACAGUUUGGAAACACUGUUGACCAAGUUGUGAUAAAAGAUCCUGAUACCAAAAUGUCAAGAGGCUUUGGUUUUAUAACAUAUGAUCAAUCAUCUGCUGUAGAAAGUUGUUUUGCCAGUCGUCCACAUGUGUUGGAUGGAAAAACUUUAGAUGUUAAACGAGCUAUACCAAAAGAAAUGCAAUCCCCAGCAUCUCGUUUAAGAGUAAAAAAACUAUUUGUAGGAGGAGUUGCCCCUGAUCUUACCCCAGAAGAAUUUCAAGACUAUAUUGAGAGUCGUCAUCCUACAUCAAUCGGCACUAUAGAUAAAAUUGAUUUUUUAAAAGACAAAGAUACAAAUAAAAAUAAAGGUUUUGGUUUUUUGGAGUGUUCUAGUGAAGAUUUUGCUGAUCGUUUAGUAAUAAGUGAAAAUUCUUUUCAAUUAAAUGGGAAAAACAUGUCUUUAAAAAAAGCUGAGCCCAAAGAAGGUAGUGGUGGUAGUGGUGGCGGUGGUGGUCAAGGAGGCAAAUAUCAAGGAAAUAGCUUUCAGAAUAACAGUUAUCAAGGUAACCAAGGUGGAGGUUUUAAUAGUAGAGGGGGAGCUAGAGGUGGAAAUAGCAAUAGAGUAAAUAGUGGGCGAGGUGGAUUUAGAGGUGGAAGAGGGGCACCUCGUGGUGGUGCAAGAGGAGGCAGUGGAGUUCCUAAUAAUGAUUACAACAGCUAUGGAGGAGGUUAUCAACAGCCACAAAACUAUCAGCAAGAUUAUUCAUAUCAAAAUAAUGGAUAUGGAAAUUACCAACAAGGAUAUGGUCAGCAACAACCAAGUAGCUAUGGAGGAGGUUACAAUCAAACUAGUGGUGGUGGGGGUGGUGGUUAUCAAAGUAACAAUCGUUAUCAACCAUACUAAGUGGUGUUAAGGUUUCUAGUUUCUAAUCAAAUGCAGUCUAAGGACUAAAUCGUCAGACUAGGAAGUUGUACAUAGAAGACUUAAGUUCUAAUUGGUCAAUUUUAGCAAGAGAACGAUAUAUUUUCAAGAAGCUGAAACGUUUCAUAAGAUAACUAAGUGUGUGACAUCUUACCAUGGACUGAUUUUAUAUUUUAAUCUUCGUGGUUUUUUUUAUAAAUAAAGUAUCAGCCUUAA